GAGUUUCUAUUUUUAAACCCUGCUCUAGGACAUGAAAGUGGCCCGUGAUAGCUGCUGAUGGCUAGCUACCACGUGGUCUGGAGGGCACUGAGGACACUCAGCCAUAGGGCCUAGGAAAUAGGAGCAACAAAUGGGGUCCCGGCACACAGGAUCAGGGACAGCUUAGGUCCCGUGAACACAGAAUUAGAGUCUGCAGGUGGCUACCAACCUGCUGGGGCCACAGCAGGACCUUGGGCAGGCAGCAAGGUGGCCAGGUUCUACCACUGAUCCUCAACACCCUGCUCAGGGCCAGCAUAGGAAUUGGCUUCCAGGGCAUGGCCAGCCUCCGUCCCGCUCUGUGCUUUGCAAUUACUUCCAAUAUUACAUAGUUAUUCAGCAAUUGUGACUCUACAAAACCAGUUACCGAAAGUUUCCUAGUUCUGCCUUGGUCAUUUGUUCUACUGCCUAAUAACGUCUCUAUCUGCAGGUUUUCUAGGCAACCGUGCUCGAACAUAGGUGGCCAUGGCAGGUGGAUUCUGUGAGAAGCGGGAGUCUUUGAGCAGAGGGCCUAUACAGAGACUGUGAGGCUGAGUCUGCCCAGCCAUUGGGAGCAGAGUUGGGGUGAUACAGGAUGAAGCUCUUGGGGACCCUGGACCCCUACUUACAAGUCAUAUAUGUUGGGCUGGAGAGAUGGCUCAACAGUUAAGAACACCGACUGCUCUUCCAGAGGUCCUGAGUUCA